rnacentral:rRNA from 1 species
UACAGAGGUCCCAAGCGUUGUUCGGAUUCACUGGGCGUAAAGGGUGCGUAGGCGGUCAGGUAAGUCUGAUGUGAAAUCUCUGGGCUUAACCCAGAAAUGGCAUUGGAUACUAUUUGGCUUGAGAGUUGGAGGGGGGACUGGAAUUCUUGGUGUAGCAGUGAAAUGCGUAGAUAUCAAGAGGAACACCAGUGGCGAAGGCGAGUCCCUGGACCGACAUUGACGCUGAUGAGCGAAAGCUAGGGGAGCAAACGGG